GUGAAUGUACGUUGGGACUAGUUGUGGGGUCCAUUCCACGGAUUCCGUGACGCAGCUAACGCAUUAAGUUCCCCGCCUGGGGAGUACGGCCGCAAGGCUAAAACUCAAAGGAAUUGACGGGGACCCGCACAAGCGGCGGAGCAUGCGGAUUAAUUCGAUGCAACGCGAAGAACCUUACCAAGGCUUGACAUAUACGAGAACGGGCCAGAAAUGGUCAACUCUUUGGACACUCGUAAACAGGUGGUGCAUGGUUGUCGUCAGCUCGUGUCGUGAGAUGUUGGGUUAAGUCCCGCAACGAGCGCAACCCUCGUUCUAUGUUGCCAGCACGUAAUGGUGGGAACUCAUGGGAUACUGCCGGGGUCAACUCGGAGGAAGGUGGGGAUGACGUCAAAUCAUCAUGCCCCUUAUGUCUUGGGCUUCACGCAUGCUACAAUGGCCGGUACAAAGGGCUGCAAUACCGCGAGGUGGAGCGAAUCCCAAAAAGCCGGUCCCAGUUCGGAUUGAGGUCUGCAACUCGACCUCAUGAAGUCGGAGUCGCUAGUAAUCGCAGAUCAGCAACGCUGCGGUGAAUACGUUCCCGGGUCUUGUACACACCGCCCGUCAAGUCAUGAAAGUCGGUAACACCUGAAGCCGGUGGCCCAACCCUUGUGGAGGGAGCCGUCGAAGGUGGGAUCGGUAAUUAGGACUAAGUCGUAAAAGGGGUAACCA
rnacentral:rRNA from 1 species